UCAACCCUAAACUGUUGAUUGAUUUCAUGGGAUUUAUCGAGCAAAAUACUUGAUCAAAGUGUUGUUUGGAUCAAAGCACUUAAAGUUCGUUGAAGCAGUUCAUUUAUACAUAAGAAGGUGAUUGUUGAUCAGCAUAAACAAACGCAAAAAAAGUCAAAUACAGAGCAUCUUCAUUGAGAUUGGGGAUCAAUGUUUUUUUUAUCAUGUUUUUUGCUCUUCUCUUCAUUUCAUCUGUUUGCUUGCAUUGACUUGAAACUAUCUGCCGGAAGGGUUCGAGUUAAUUAGAGCUUUUCUACAAAUGCUUGGACAAGUUGAGGUUAACCAAGGAAUACAAUUUGGUCAAUUCAAAUGUAAUCUUGAUGAAGCAGUUUUUUUGUUGCUGUUAAUAUUGCUGAUGUUAACUGAUUAAACCACUAACAGUAACAUACCAGAUGCAAUCAACUAUUCAACUGAAGAUAUCAAAAAAGUAAAACAUUUGUUGAUCAUCAUUGAUCCGAAUAAAGUGAACCACAACAUCAUGUAGGAAGAUGAUAUGAACAAGAGAACAGAAUUCCGUUCAUUGGAAUUCACUUUUUUCCUUCUUAUUCUUUGAUAAUUUUUAAUUUCCUUGUAUUGCUUUAUAACUUUAAGCUUACUAUUUAAGAUAAUUAUUACACUGAGACAAUCAGCCUGAAAGAUUCAAUUCAUUAAGCUUAAAUUCAAACACUUACAUUUGUUACUUUUCAUUGUACAAUAUUUUAAUGGCGAUACAAUCCAGCUUUCUGUCAUUUUUCAUAUCUUUUUACAAUUUCAUCUUUAUUUAAGGAUAUUUAAUACCAAUUUAAUGAUCAAAUAAAGAUCAAGAUUAUCAAUUAUUGCAGAUUAAACCAUUCCUCCAUUUUCACUUGAUAACCAAUGAGUUUGAUUAACCCCUGUUAAUCAGCUUAAAUGAUUAAUGAAAGGGACCAACCACUAAUUUACAGGAAAUAUUUAUAAUAAAUGUAACUUGUAAAAUUAAAGCAAUUUGUUUCCCUUUUUUUGAAAAAACGUUGUGACCAUUUUGUUGAACCAUUGAACAAUGUAAACAUUUUUACUCUCAACUAAAUAAUAGCGACACUAAUAACUGGUUAACAAUAUAAAAUUAAUCUUUUUGGUAAUUUACUUUGUGUUUCAGGCUAGUUGAUAACUUUAAUUAACCCCUAAACGGUUAAUUGUCUUUGGUUUCUUAAUUCAAAUUAACCAAGAUCUCACAAUACGAGCCUACCACACAUUAAUGUAAAUUUAUUCUUAAGGCAUACAUUAAAAGCAUUUGCAAAGUGCCCAGCGAUGAUGUUUCCAUUGCUGUUGAUGAUAAUGAUGACAAGGAAGAUGACGAUGAUGGGUAAUAAUCAUCAACCAUCAAACACUAACUCUUCAUGAGAAGACAAGAGAAAACAUUUGGUGAGAAAUGUUAAAUUAUAUGAUGAAAACUUCCGAGUGACAAAAUUGUAAUAAUGGAAAAAAAGGAGUAAAAGAAGGAAAAGUUUCCUGGAAAACACUUGCAUAUAUUUUGUCACUUCUUAUUAGUAUAAUUAAUAUGGUUCACUAAGUAAAGAUGAAUAAUCAGAAAAUUACUAUUCAUUAAUUUUCAUCCAAUAAAUCUGGUUGAACAUCUUAACGGUAAACAAUAACAAAUCCCAUGUUUAUAGCGCCAAAGUGAGGGACGAACCUUACAUUAAAAACAGUCAACCCAAUUUUGAGAUUAAUAAACCUGUGUACAUAUGUUUUUAUAAAUCGCGCUUGCUAUAGUAACUUGAUUAGUUUUAAUUAAUUUAUUCCUAAUUCGUUCAAAAUUAUUUAAAUUGUUUCUUUAAACUUUGGACAGUACCGUGAAUAGUAUCCAAUACAUAAUAGAUGGUCAACAUACUGGUGGCUAAAAACGAUCAUUGCCAUCACUUCUCGCUUUCAUCAUGUUCCAGCAUCGUAUUAACAGACCAGAAGGAGAUUCAUCCUACUCAUCAUCUACUUUUUACAUCAUGUUUCAACAAUAAUAAACAAACUGAUUGCUGCAAAACUAAUGACCUUGGAAAAGUGAAAUAACUAAGAAAAGGAAGAAGAAAAAGAAGAGCAAAAAAUGUUGAACAAAAAACACAACAAAACAACAAGAAAAAAAAUGUGUCUUCCUCAUCAUCAUUGUCCAAAUAACUGAUGAUCUUCUCUUUCUUUCUCUCUAUAGCUUCUCUUGGUCCUGUCGUCCUCUUCAUCCUCAUCAUUUCCAUCAUCAAUGAAGCCUUUCAUCCACAAAAUGAUCUGCAUCAAACCAUCCGCUUGGUUGGACAAAGAAGGCUGACCAUUCUUACCAUCCAUUGGACAAGUCACUUACUGUUUAAUUCACCUGGCUUUUUUUGAACCUUCAUCUUAGCCAGCAUGUUAAUGAUUCAAAAUAUAUCAACAUUCAUCUUUAUUCAGCCAUAAUUCAGCAGCAACAACAAUCAACGAUUCAUCUUCCCUGAAACUUUCAUUUUUUAUCUGGUUGUCCAUGAUGAAAGGCAAAAGGCGAGAAAACAGUUCUAAAGCAAUCUUUAUGAUUAUUGCAUUGGUCUUCUUGAAUCAUUUUUGACCAUCAAAUACAACGAAACCUUAUACAACAUUGUCAUAGAAAGGGAAAUCUUUCAAGAAUUGACAUUUGGAACUGACUACAGAAUGGUAACCCUGGCAAUUGAAGACUUACUCUUCAGACUUACAUAAGAUUCAAUUUGACCUGAAUAUUAGCAGGAACCUCGAAAAAAAAGGAAGAAAACAAGAGCAAAAUAUCUUUUUCUGUGUGUCUGAUGUAUCAACACUUAAUUGUAUUAAUGUUUGUGUGAAUGUUUAGGUGUUUACUGUUGUCUGAGACUAUCAGGAAGCUUGUGAGAAAUUGCUAUCCUUUUUAUUGAACAGUCAAGUUGACAAUUGGCAUUAGGAAAUGAACCAAAAUAGGUAACAUUGUAGUGGAAUACAUAUUUUGUUAUGAGAAGAUGAUUUCGAUUAGGAAACAGAUUUUUCCCAUUAAUCGAAUCAUUUUGCCUCAAAUCUUCCUGUCCAAUCUCAACAAAUACACCAUAUAAUACAAUAUAAUGUGCUGAAUAAUGAUAGUAGCAUAAUAGAUUUGAUUACUCCGGCAUGAGCAAUCUGUUUAGCUUGUAACAUUGAUUUUUAGGUUUUUCAUCGGCCCAUCAAAUAGUCACUGACAAUCAGAGAAAAGUUGUCCACUAAUUGACCUUAAACUUCACACUUUACACCUUAUGUUUGAUAGUUAACUAGUAAUUUAACAGUAAUUUUCCAAGUAGCCUUUUCGUGACAAUACGGACGAUUUUAUAUAAAUUGUAUUUAGUUUUGAAAGUAUAAUCAAAGUGAAUGUCAAUUUUCAGGUUAAAAAGAUAAUUUAGUGUGUUUGAUGUACAUUAUUG